rnacentral:rRNA from 1 species
UUAAAGUCUAACCUGCCCACUGAAAUUUUAAAUGGCCGCAGUAUUUUGACUGUGCAAAGGUAGCAUAAUCAUUAGUCUUUUAAUUGAAGGCUGGAAUGAAUGGUUGGACGAAAUAUUAACUGUUUCAUUUAAAUUUUUUAUAGAAUUUUAUUUUUUAGUCAAAAAGCUAAAAUAAUUUUAAAAGACGAGAAGACCCUAUAAAUCUUUAUAUUUUUUUUAUUUUAAUUGUUAAGAUUAAUUUUAUUUUAAUAAAUAAAAAUAUUUUAUUGGGGUGAUAUUAAAAUUUAAAAAACUUUUAAUUUUUAAAAACAUUAAUUUAUGAAUAAUUGAUCCAUUAAUAAUGAUUAAAAAAUUAAGUUACUUUAGGGAUAACAGCGUAAUUUUUUUGGAGAGUUCAUAUCGAUAAAAAAGAUUGCGACCUCGAUGUUGGAUUAAGAUAUAAUUUUGGGUGUAGCCGUUCAAAUUUUAAGUCUGUUCGACUUUUAAAUUCUUACAUGAUCUGAGUUCAAACCGGUGUAAGCCAGGUUGGUUUCUAUCUUUAAAAAAUUAUAAUAUUUUAGUACGAAAGGACCAAAUAUUAGAAUAAUCAUAUUUUAAAAAAGAAUAUUAUUAAUAUAA